rnacentral:rRNA from 1 species
GACGUAGGGCGCGAGCGUUGUCCGGAUUUAUUGGGCGUAAAGAGCUCGUAGGCGGCUUGUCGCGUCGACUGUGAAAACCCGUGCUCAACCAUGUGGUCUGCAGUCGAUACGGGCAGGCUAGAAUUCGGUAGGGGAGACUGGAAUUCCUGGUGUAGCGGUGAAAAUGCGCAGAUAUCAGGAGGAACACCGGUGGCGAAAGGCGGGUCUCUGGGCCGAUACUGACGCUGAGGAGCGAAAAGCGUGGGGAGCGAACAGG